rnacentral:rRNA from 1 species
UUCGUCACACUAUCAUUAACUGAAUCCAUAGGUUAAUGAGGCGAACCGGGGGAACUGAAACAUCUAAGUACCCCGAGGAAAAGAAAUCAACCGAGAUUCCCCCAGUAGCGGCGAGCGAACGGGGAGGAGCCCAGAGCCUGAAUCAGUGUGUGUGUUAGUGGAAGCGUCUGGAAAGGCGCGCGAUACAGGGUGACAGCCCCGUACACAAAAAUGCACAUGCUGUGAGCUCGAUGAGUAGGGCGGGACACGUGGUAUCCUGUCUGAAUAUGGGGGGACCAUCCUCCAAGGCUAAAUACUCCUGACUGACCGAUAGUGAACCAGUACCGUGAGGGAAAGGCGAAAAGAACCCCGGCGAGGGGAGUGAAAAAGAACCUGAAACCGUGUACGUACAAGCAGUGGGAGCACAGAGCAAUCUGUGUGACUGCGUACCUUUUGUAUAAUGGGUCAGCGACUUAUAUUCUGUAGCAAGGUUAACCGAAUAGGGGAGCCGAAGGGAAACCGAGUCUUAACUGGGCGUUAAGUUGCAGGGUAUAGACCCGAAACCCGGUGAUCUAGCCAUGGGCAGGUUGAAGGUUGGGUAACACUAACUGGAGGACCGAACCGACUAAUGUUGAAAAAUUAGCGGAUGACUUGUGGCUGGGGGUGAAAGGCCAAUCAAACCGGGAGAUAGCUGGUUCUCCCCGAAAGCUAUUUAGGUAGCGCCUCGUGAAUUCAUCUCCGGGGGUAGAGCACUGUUUCGGCAAGGGGGUCAUCCCGACUUACCAACCCGAUGCAAACUGCGAAUACCGGAGAAUGUUAUCACGGGAGACACACGGCGGGUGCUAACGUCCGUCGUGAAGAGGGAAACAACCCAGACCGCCAGCUAAGGUCCCAAAGUCAUGGUUAAGUGGGAAACGAUGUGGGAAGGCCCAGACAGCCAGGAUGUUGGCUUAGAAGCAGCCAUCAUUUAAAGAAAGCGUAAUAGCUCACUGGUCGAGUCGGCCUGCGCGGAAGAUGUAACGGGGCUAAACCAUGCACCGAAGCUGCGGCAGCGACACUGUGUGUUGUUGGGUAGGGGAGCGUUCUGUAAGCCUGUGAAGGUGUGCUGUGAGGCAUGCUGGAGGUAUCAGAAGUGCGAAUGCUGACAUAAGUAACGAUAAAGCGGGUGAAAAGCCCGCUCGCCGGAAGACCAAGGGUUCCUGUCCAACGUUAAUCGGGGCAGGGUGAGUCGACCCCUAAGGCGAGGCCGAAAGGCGUAGUCGAUGGGAAACAGGUUAAUAUUCCUGUACUUGGUGUUACUGCGAAGGGGGGACGGAGAAGGCUAUGUUGGCCGGGCGACGGUUGUCCCGGUUUAAGCGUGUAGGCUGGUUUUCCAGGCAAAUCCGGAAAAUCAAGGCUGAGGCGUGAUGACGAGGCACUACGGUGCUGAAGCAACAAAUGCCCUGCUUCCAGGAAAAGCCUCUAAGCAUCAGGUAACAUCAAAUCGUACCCCAAACCGACACAGGUGGUCAGGUAGAGAAUACCAAGGCGCUUGAGAGAACUCGGGUGAAGGAACUAGGCAAAAUGGUGCCGUAACUUCGGGAGAAGGCACGCUGAUAUGUAGGUGAAGUCCCUCGCGGAUGGAGCUGAAAUCAGUCGAAGAUACCAGCUGGCUGCAACUGUUUAUUAAAAACACAGCACUGUGCAAACACGAAAGUGGACGUAUACGGUGUGACGCCUGCCCGGUGCCGGAAGGUUAAUUGAUGGGGUCAGCGCAAGCGAAGCUCUUGAUCGAAGCCCCGGUAAACGGCGGCCGUAACUAUAACGGUCCUAAGGUAGCGAAAUUCCUUGUCGGGUAAGUUCCGACCUGCACGAAUGGCGUAAUGAUGGCCAGGCUGUCUCCACCCGAGACUCAGUGAAAUUGAACUCGCUGUGAAGAUGCAGUGUACCCGCGGCAAGACGGAAAGACCCCGUGAACCUUUACUAUAGCUUGACACUGAACAUUGAGCCUUGAUGUGUAGGAUAGGUGGGAGGCUUUGAAGUGUGGACGCCAGUCUGCAUGGAGCCGACCUUGAAAUACCACCCUUUAAUGUUUGAUGUUCUAACGUGGACCCGUGAUCCGGGUUGCGGACAGUGUCUGGUGGGUAGUUUGACUGGGGCGGUCUCCUCCUAAAGAGUAACGGAGGAGCACGAAGGUUGGCUAAUCCUGGUCGGACAUCAGGAGGUUAGUGCAAUGGCAUAAGCCAGCUUGACUGCGAGCGUGACGGCGCGAGCAGGUGCGAAAGCAGGUCAUAGUGAUCCGGUGGUUCUGAAUGGAAGGGCCAUCGCUCAACGGAUAAAAGGUACUCCGGGGAUAACAGGCUGAUACCGCCCAAGAGUUCAUAUCGACGGCGGUGUUUGGCACCUCGAUGUCGGCUCAUCACAUCCUGGGGCUGAAGUAGGUCCCAAGGGUAUGGCUGUUCGCCAUUUAAAGUGGUACGCGAGCUGGGUUUAGAACGUCGUGAGACAGUUCGGUCCCUAUCUGCCGUGGGCGCUGGAGAACUGAGGGGGGCUGCUCCUAGUACGAGAGGACCGGAGUGGACGCAUCACUGGUGUUCGGGUUGUCAUGCCAAUGGCACUGCCCGGUAGCUAAAUGCGGAAGAGAUAAGUGCUGAAAGCAUCUAAGCACGAAACUUGCCCCGAGAUGAGUUCUCCCUGACCCUUUAAGGGUCCUGAAGGAACGUUGAAGACGACGACGUUGAUAGGCCGGGUGUGUAAGCGCAGCGAUGCGUUGAGCUAACCGGUACUAAUGAACCGUGAGGCUUAACCUUACAACGCCGAAGGUGUUU